AAAUACAUGAGAACAUAAAGAUUUAAAACUAAAGUUUGCUUGAAAAUGGGACUCCUUGUCUAAAUCAUCCAAGGAAAAUUCACGGUUUCUUCAUCUAUUUAGGUUUCACAGUAAAAAAAAAACUGUUUUUUGGAUCUCAAUUACUAGACUGAUGCAGCAUUGAAAAGACAUGUGAGAAACCAUUUUGAAAAAGACAGAGGAAGUACAAAUAGCAAUGGAUACAAAUAAUGUUAGAUGCUAUAGUUAUUUUCAAAGCUGUCUUUACAGAAGAACAGGUAUUGUUUUGGUUUUAGGACAACUUUGAUGAAAGGUUUUAAUCCACUUCAAAUGUUGACUAGUGUAACAACCCCAACACAGAAGUAGUCUACCCAGUGUUUUUGAACACAACAGGAAGAAAAAUGCCACAUAUGCUCAUCAGAGGCCAUUCUGAGAUUGUGUUUGUGUUGAGUUUUCCAUCCGGUUCUGUUGUGUUGUGUAAUUGGACCGUGGUCUCGUCCAGUAGAUGGCGCUGUGUUACUGACCUCUGGAGGAGAGAGGGGCCAACCUGCUGAUGGACAGAAGAAAGGGACACGUCUCCGCUGCCGCCCACUCCAACAGGAAACAUUCACCAUCUUUGGUCCCUCAUUUUGUCCGUGCCGACCGGCGAAGGAAACUCAGUGAUCUUCUAAGGCUUGUCAUUUUCCUGCCGGUAAGUGGGCGGCAGUUUGGUUGAGUUGGUCACGCAGGGGACCUGGACGGCUCGAAUGAACGACGUCCUGCAAUCCAAGCAGACGAUAGACUAGUCUGUGGCUGCACAUUCUUCAACUCCUACAGACGCUCCUAAAAUAUCUGCUCAGACAAAUCACAUUUACAUUUUCUUGCGCGCGCACACACACACAUGCCAAAGAGUCACUGUGACCCAUCAAAGCAGCUUCAGGCUCUUUUGCCGGUCUGUUUUUUCCAAGUUGGUGUUCAGCUGGUCAGUCUGAUGCCCCAAAUAUAACCACCAAAGCAGACCAGUGAGAACCAGCUAGAGGCCGGAUUAGACCUUUUUUCAGCUGGGCCUCAAGGGCUGGACCGGGCUUUUUGGAUAUCCGCUUUUUGAGGGCUGUGGAACGCUCCGGUGCUCCUGUAACCCAGGAAUGGCUCGAGUGAUCUUUGCAGAUGCCGUGCCAAAAUGAAUGACAACGUCCCAGUGCUGCAAUGCAGUAAUUUAAUAGCGCUUCCACCGGACAGAUGCUCUUCACCUUCACACCAGCAGAGGGCGACAGCAGCGAUGAAAGGCAAAUUGCCCCCAUCCACUCAUCUGCCCACCAAAGCCCCGAACACUUGUCCUGUGGUGCAGUUGCUUCCUCCAUUGCUGAAAUGACAGAAUGAAAAGUAGUAGAUACACCCACCUUACGCCCGCAUCAGAGUCGGUAACACCAUUCUCGCCUGUAGGGAGUGAGAAUGUGUAAAGUGGUGCAAGGAUGUCAAACAGAAUGCCAUUCAUUCCAGGGCUGGGCAGAGGGAGCCGGUGCUGGUGUAGAGUUCAAGGGAAUGCUGGGAGACCGCUGGGGUCGUGUCUUGCUGACUCAGCAGAAACCCUCCGCUGACGUCACUCUGCUUUUCCUUCUUUGCUGGUCAGACUGGAAUCCUCCAAAAGCAGUCACUUUAGUGCAGGCCAUCUCUGUGCAAACAAGUUACUCUGGGAGGGUCUGGGAACAGAUGAUGGCAGCUGAGCUUUUUUGUAAAUUUAUAAGACAGAAUAUCUCUUGAUUAUGAGUUGUUAGUGACAUCUGACUAUUUGAGAAGAAAUGUAAUUAUUACAAACCCAUUUCUAAUACUUACUGGUAUUUGUGCUUUAAAGAAACAGUUCACCCAAAAGUUAAAAGCAAAAAAGGAUGAAAUUUGACUCCCCCUCAGGCUAUCUGAGAUGUAGAUGAGUUUGUUUCAUCAUCAAUUUAGCAUUACAUCCCUUGAUCACCAGUGGGUCCUCUGCAGUGAAUGGGUGCCGUCAGAAUGAGAGUCCAAACAGCUGAUCAAAACA